UACGGAGGAUCCAAGCGUUAUCCGGAUUUAUUGGGUUUAAAGGGUGCGUAGGCGGCUUUUUAAGUCAGGGGUGAAAGACGGUAGCUCAACUAUCGCAGUGCCCUUGAUACUGAUGGGCUUGAAUGUACUAGAGGUAGGCGGAAUGUGACAAGUAGCGGUGAAAUGCAUAGAUAUGUCACAGAACACCAAUUGCGAAGGCAGCUUACUAUGGUAUAAUUGACGCUGAGGCACGAAAGCGUGGGGAUCAAACAGG
rnacentral:rRNA from 1 species